AUUGAACGCUGGCGGCAGGCUUAACACAUGCAAGUCGAGCGGGGGAAGGUAGCUUGCUACCGGACCUAGCGGCGGACGGGUGAGUAAUGCUUAGGAAUCUGCCUAUUAGUGGGGGACAACAUCUCUACAGGGAUGCUAAUACCGCAUACGUCCUACGGGAGAAAGCAGGGGAGCUUCGGACCUUGCGCUAAUAGAUGAGCCUAAGUAGGAUUAGCUAGUUGGUGGGGUAAAGGCCUACCAAGGCGACGAACUGUAGCGGGGCUGAGAGGAUGAUCCGCCACACUGGGACUGAGACACGGCCCAGACUCCUACGGGAGGCAGCAGUGGGGAAUAUUGGACAAUGGGGGGAACCCUGAUCCAGCCAUGCCGCGUGUGUGAAGAAGGCCUUAUGGUUGUAAAGCACUUUAAGCGAGGAGGAGGCUACUUUAGUUAAUACCUAGAGAUAGUGGACGUUACUCGCAGAAUAAGCACCGGCUAACUCUGUGCCAGCCGCCGCGGUAA
rnacentral:rRNA from 1 species